GAAUCUUGCACAAUGGGCGAAAGCCUGAUGYAGCGACGCCGCGUGGGGGAUGAAGCAUUUCGGUGUGUAAACCCCUUUCGAUCCGGACGAAACCCCGCAAGGGAUUGACGGUACGGAUAUAAGAAGCCCCGGCUAACUACGUGCCAGCAGCCGCGGUAAGACGUAGGGGGCCAGCGUUGUUCGGAAUUACUGGGUGUAAAGGGUCAGUAGGCGGUGCGGCAAGUCGGGAGUGAAAUCUCUGGGCUUAACCCAGAGGCUGCUUCCGAAACUGCUGUGCUUGAGUGUGGGAGAGGCGCGUGGAAUUGCAGGUGUAGCGGUGAAAUGCGUAGAUAUCUGCAGGAACACCCGUGGCGAAAGCGGCGCGCUGGACCACAACUGACGCUGAAUGACGAAAGCUAGGGGAGCAAACAGGAUUAGAUACCCUGGUAGUCCUAGCCCUAAACGAUCAGGACUUGGGGUGCCACCCGUUCGGGUGUCGUCCCGGAGCUAACGCGUUAAGUCCUGCACCUGGGGAGUACGGUCGCAAGACUG
rnacentral:rRNA from 1 species